rnacentral:tRNA from 1 species
GUCCUGGUGGUGAAAUGGUAAACACAUUCCUCUUAAAAGGGAACGUCUAUGACUUGAGAGUUCGAAUCUCUCUCAGGACACCA